rnacentral:lncRNA from 13 species
UAAAGAGAAAAAGGCCCAGGAACUUCAUGAUCUUGGGAGAACCUUAAGAAAAUAGGAAUUCGCCUAAAUCUACAGAGAUUGCAGGCAAGAAAUACCUCUUCUCAAAUACCUAAUUGCUUGUACCAUAUAGCGGCCUAACUUAGAUGGGCAUCUACUCCCAUCUAAACCACCUGCUCCUGAGUUGAGAAAGAACUGUUUAACUGGACUGACCUGCUGCC